rnacentral:lncRNA from 1 species
AUGGCUGGUGAAGAGUCCCACUAGACUGGAACUCUUCGAUCAAGAGUCCUAAUAUUUGGGGACUCUGAGUCCUACAUGUCUGGAAUUUUGUGAUCGAGAAUCAAGAUUCUUUGAUCAUGAGUUCCACAUAUUUUGGGUGCCGGGGUCAAGAGUCCCACUGGUUUGGGUCUCUUCGAUCAAGGUUUCAUAUCGAUGGACUUUGAUGCCCGAUUGCCCAUUGGAUUUGGACUCAGUAUUUAUGAGAGAUUUAAUUAGUGAUUUGAUCACUAAUUA